UGGGGAAUAUUGGACAAUGGGCGCAAGCCUGAUCCAGCCAUGCCGCGUGAGUGACGAAGGCCUUAGGGUUGUAAAGCUCUUUUGGCGGGGACGAUAAUGACGGUACCCGCAGAAUAAGCUCCGGCUAACUUCGUGCCAGCAGCCGCGGUAAUACGAAGGGAGCUAGCGUUGUUCGGAAUCACUGGGCGUAAAGCGCACGUAGGCGGAUCGUUAAGUCGGGGGUGAAAUCCCGAGGCUCAACCUCGGAACUGCCUUCGAUACUGGCGAUCUUGAGUUCGGGAGAGGUGGGUGGAAUUCCUAGUGUAGAGGUGAAAUUCGUAGAUAUUAGGAAGAACACCGGUGGCGAAGGCGGCCCACUGGCCCGAUACUGACGCUGAGGUGCGAAAGCGUGGGGAGCAAA
rnacentral:rRNA from 1 species